CAUCUCCCGAAAGCAGUCAGUGGAAUUGCAAGCUGUAAAUCGAUAUUUUCCGAAAAGUUAUUUGCAAUCUGGUUGGCUUACCCUUUUUCCUUAGAUUACGUGGUUUAAAGAGGUUGAACAGCAUACAAAGUCGAAUGGCAAUCAAUGUGGAAGCGGUUGAAAACGCAUUUGAAUGGGAAACGUUCGAGGAUGGAAAACCAUAUCUUGGCACCUACAAGCAUGAAAUACCAAAUAAAGUGAAGAUGAUGACGAUGAAGCUUGAUCUAAAAGAUUGGAUAAAGAUUGAUCGAACAUACGCAUCGCAGCAACACGAAAAGGAGCGACUAUUGGAAACACUGCGUGACAACGUGUUUGUCACCAAUAACGAUGAGUCGACUAAGCUGGCGAAGAGUGAACUACUACAAAUGCUGUGCAAGUAUCUACCAGAACGAUUUCCUGACAAGUUUGAAGCAAGAGAAGGAGGCGUAUACAACAAAAUGUUGCAGGAAUUUAUAUCGUCCUCGGAAGAGCCUGGUGAGGAGGACCCGCUUAUCAAAUGCGGGCGGCUGACACAGGAGGACUGGUGCAUAAUGGAGUGGAGUGACGAGCAUCAGGCUUAUUACCUGACUGCAGGUAUUGUGUGCUUCCCCUCUCGCUGGUCGCUCCGAGAGAAAUGGAACUUGCCAAUGUUAGAUAUCCAUCAACCAGUUGACGGCUUCACCAAACAUCUCAAGUCUCUUGUUUACAAUCUCUUCAAAACCAUGGCUCCUGAUGCGCCGGUGUACCGCGGAAACUGGUCGAUCUCCAAUGACCUUGACGGCCCGCUCGAUUUGUACAUACCAGAGGAAUAUGAGCAUCACAACGCAGCCAGGGGUGGUGUACGACUAUAUGAAGACGAGAAAACCGGCCGUGUGUUUACCUUCCGAAGCGAGUAUCAAACACUGCGAAAACUCGAGAAGAGCAAAGCGAUUGUCUUUAGUAUUCGCACCUACCAGAUCUACUUGGAGGAUUUCAAGAAAUUUCCAAGGAAGGACACAGAAACGCUCGUUAAGGUCAUCGAAAAUAUCCACCCUGACUUCGUUGAAUACAAGCGCGUCGAGCUUUGGAAGGAUGAUGUGCUUAAGUACUUAAAACGAGAUGUGCUUGGAGAGAAAGAAAGCCCUUGGAUUAUGAGCUCUUGGAAAACAGGGGGGUCGGCUCUUGUUGUCGGUAUCUCUGUUCUUGCCGUAGCAUUGGCUUUUAUGAAACGUUAGUAAAUCGACAAGCACAAGUGAAAACUUUGAAAUUGGGACAUAUGAAUGAACCAUUCUACACCAGUUUACUUAACAGUUUUUCGAAAGCUUCCCUUCAUGGUUCCGACUCAGGCAAUAGCGAGCCAUGGCAAUCAACCAAGAAUUACUCUUGUCCCACAAACAACUAUCAUGCAAUAUCUGUUUCAAAGAGUACUACAAGGAUUACGAGGCAAUUUUCUAUUCUAUUCGCAGGACACAAAACUACUGACUACGUCACUUGAGUCCGUACGUACCGGCAUCCAUGUACACACCACGAGGAGCCGGCUUGAUUUCAAAGCAAAACUACUCGCAAAUUCACAGAAAACGUAUAUUUUACUUUCUACGAAACGCUGGGUCUUGAACAAACGCAGGGUUUGAAUAAACGCCGGGUCAACGAGGUCUAGCUUUAUAAUGCUUUACAGCGCUAUCAACAAAUGAUUAUUCUAUAGUUCGGUGUUGGAAUCAGCUGAAUGAAUCUCAUAAAUCUCAUUUCAAGUCUUCAAUGACAGUCAAACACUUUGUCGCUUGUGCUAUCAACCAGAGAGCAUUCUAUUGCUUGUUACUGUUACUAUACGGUCAAAAAAGCAAACAUAUAAUAUAUUUAUGUUCAACAAAUUCUUUAUUGGUGACCAAAUUGUAUUUGCGAGAACACUCUGCUCAAACAAUAAAAGGAAAUCUCUUUAUUUGA
rnacentral:misc_RNA from 1 species